CCCUGGCUCAGAUUGAACGCUGGCGGCAGGCCUAACACAUGCAAGUCGAGCGGUAGAGAGGUGCUUGCACCUCUUGAGAGCGGCGGACGGGUGAGUAAUGCCUAGGAAUCUGCCUGGUAGUGGGGGAUAACGCUCGGAAACGGACGCUAAUACCGCAUACGUCCUACGGGAGAAAGCAGGGGACCUUCGGGCCUUGCGCUAUCAGAUGAGCCUAGGUCGGAUUAGCUAGUUGGUGAGGUAAUGGCUCACCAAGGCGACGAUCCGUAACUGGUCUGAGAGGAUGAUCAGUCACACUGGAACUGAGACACGGUCCAGACUCCUACGGGAGGCAGCAGUGGGGAAUAUUGGACAAUGGGCGAAAGCCUGAUCCAGCCAUGCCGCGUGUGUGAAGAAGGUCUUCGGAUUGUAAAGCACUUUAAGUUGGGAGGAAGGGCAUUAACCUAAUACGUUAGUGUUUUGACGUUACCGACAGAAUAAGCACCGGCUAA
rnacentral:rRNA from 1 species